rnacentral:rRNA from 1 species
UACGUAGGGGGCAAGCGUUGUCCGGAAUUAUUGGGCGUAAAGCGCGCGCAGGUGGUGGAUUAAGUUGUGGGUCAAAGGCAAUGGCUCAACCAUUGUAAGCCUGCAAAACUGGUUCACUUGAGUGCAGGAGAGGGGAGUGGAAUUCCCGGUGUAGCGGUGGAAUGCGUAGAGAUCGGGAGGAACACCAGUGGCGAAGGCGACUCUCUGGCCUGUAACUGACACUGAGGCGCGAAAGCGUGGGGAGCGAACA